GCGGAAGUAGCUCAGUUGGUAGAGCAUUAGCCUUCCAAGCUAAGGGUCGCGAGUUCGAACCUCGUUUUCCGCU
rnacentral:tRNA from 2 species